rnacentral:lncRNA from 1 species
AUGAAGUUAAAUUACAGAGCUGUUGGGCAUCAGAAAGAAUCCAGCGUUUGCCCCAACAUUGCUAUUGGAUAUGCUACAAAUGAGGAAUUCUUUAGCUAUUUUGUUUAUUCACCAAAUUCUAUUAAUCAUACUCCAGGUUUUAAUAAUUAGUUAUAUGUUAUAUACUACAUAUAUGUCAUUUUAUACAUGUAGCUUCUUGAAUAGGAGCUCCAUUGGCUAAUUUUACAUUUUUAAAUUGCUGCACGUGUGAAAUGAAAUCAGCUCUGAGUGAAAUCUUGGUAUGGGAGAAAGAGCACAAGCUCUUGAAUCAGAGCAAUUGGUAUUUCAAGCACAACUCUAAUACUGAUCAGCUAUGUGCUUGGGAAAAUUACAUAAGCUCUGAUUCUCUGUAAGCUGGAAAUAACAUCAGAAAAAAUAAAAUGAGUCCACAUAGAAUGGUUGUAAAAUGAGAUGAAGCAUGCAAUGUGCCUUGCACCCAGUGAAGCUAAGAACACAGUAGGCAUUCUAUAAAUGUUGGUUCUCUUUACUUGCUUACUUUUAUUUUCAUGUAGUUUUAUAGUACAUCCCCUUAAAGAGUUACUUUUAUUAAAAUCCAGGAUAUUUAAGAGCCCAUAAGUGCCCCUUGUUUCACCAAAUUCAGUUCUUUGCAAUGGAAGUUUCUGAAAUUUUCUACAUUGAUUUAUAACCUUAGAGGAAAGAAGAAAUCUUAAUUCUCCAUGGUUUCUGAUCACUUAGGCUUUUCUGGACUGGGGUAACACAGCAUGCCACAUGUUUUCCUAACAAAUUGCAUUCGGACACUUUCCGACACUUUCAUUAUUUUAACUCAGGUAAUAAUUAGUCACUGUCAGAGGAAGGACUUAGGUUGUGCAAAUCAGAAUAAAUUUACCUUGCCGUAGCAGCAGUCACAAAUGAAGCAAUAAAUUAGAAAUAGCAAAUUGUUAUGGACUUAAGAGAUCACAAAUCAAAAUUGCUCUCUGAAAUCCAGGAAAAGGUAGAAGAAUGCCAAGAUUUCUUUGAGAGCUUAAUUUUUCCAGAUAAACUUUUGAGUUGAAGCAGUUUGUGACAAAUCCCAGAGAGGUUUAUGACACUGAUCAGAGAGAUGACAUUCUGGGACUCCACCACGUCGCAUAAGCUAUAUUAUAAUGCUUCUAAUGAAAAAGAAAUUUUCAAAAUUUUAUAAUAUUUGGAAAUUAUUAAUUAUUUAUAAUAAACAUAUAUAUAGCAAAUAUAGUAUAUGUAUAUAUAUAUAGAGAGAGAGCAAAUAUAGUAUAU